rnacentral:rRNA from 1 species
AAACCGUUCAGGGGUAAACCUGAGAAACCCGAAAGUUCGAAAGGAGAGAUUCACCGCGACUCGUUUCGUCGACGUGGACUCGAGCGGACGUCGGUCGGACUUCGGUUCGACCGCGCCGAACUGGUUCCGUCGAGACGUGCGAUCGCGUGCACUUCUCUCCCAGUAGGACGUCGCGACCCGUUGGGUGUCGGUCUACGAUCGUCGGUGGAGUCCGAGGGACAAUCGCGUCCUCUCGAACCCGACGCAUCCGGCCGACUUGCUCGACGGUAGACACAGUGGGCGCGGGGCCGCUACUUCGGUUAGCGUCCGGCCCGUUGCAAGCAAGUUCGGUAAUCUGGUGUACGCGACGGCCUCGGUCUUCGGUCCCGGAUCCGAGCUACUGUUGGCAGCGGUGUCCUCGGACAGACUCCGUAUACACGCCUGUCAGCGACGCUAUUGCUUUGGGUACUUUCAGGACCCGUCUUGAAACACGGACCAAGGAGUCUAGCAUGCACGCAAGUCUUCGGGACUUUUGACGAAUCCUAAAGGCAAAAUGAAAGUGAAGGUCCGCCUUAGCGCGCGACCUAGGGAAGAAGAGAGGUGCUCCCUUAACCGGGGAACCUCUCCGCACUCCCGGGGCGUCUCGAUCUCAUCGCGAGAUGAGGCGCACCCAGAGCGUACACGCU